ensembl:lncRNA
AAAUUAUGAUCACAUGCGAAUGGGAAGUGACGUCGGUACGUUUGUCUAUAUGGGUAGCAAUGGGUUUGGGAAUGUAUAUGGGAAUAUAAACGAGGGUAUACGCAAAAAAUGUGACCCUUCCAAUUGUGACCAUGCCUAUGUGCGCAACAAAAACAACGAGGAUGCACAUUUAUUAUACUUAAAAAAAAACAGAAGUUUAUUUAAUUAUGGAAACGAUUUACUAACUAUAUCUGUAAGAAAAAACCGUUUAGAUCCUUCUUUUUUUUUAAAAAAUUAUAUAACAGAUAAGAUUUUGAUUUACAAAUGCAAAGAGAUAAUAAAUAAAAAAGAAAAUGUCCCUACUUUAUUUUACUUAAAAAAAAAAUCAAUUUUUAUUUUACCAUAUAUAACAAAAAAAGUACUACAAGUGAAUAAUAUAACUAUGGUAAAUUAUUAUAAUAAAAUAUAUAAAUUUUAUACGAACGUGUGUAUAUAUAAUGAUACAAAUUUUGACAUAUUUUUUUUACAUAAUAAUUGUAAAAAUUAUAUUUAUUCAAAAAAAUGUACAUACAUCAAUACGUUCAAUUUUAAUACGAAUGAUUUUUGUUUACUUCUUUUGUAUGAAAAAAAAUUAUAUACUUCUAAUGCUUUAUCCAAGUAUGAAUUAUAUAAAAAAAGAAACACGAAUUCAACUGCAAAAACGAACGAAAUUAAUUGUGAUAAUAUUGAUGAUAUACAUUCAUUUGAAUUUCAAAAAGGUUUAAACAGGUUUUACAAAUCUUUAAAUUACGGAGGUUCUAUCAACGGUCAAAUGAAAGAUAAAUAUAAUGUAUACGAAACAUCAAUAUUUUUACACUUACUUAAAAAUGAUAUUUUAGGACUACAUACAAAUGUUAAUAAUGAUUUUAUUGAUAAAUCUCAUCAAGACAAACAAACGACAUUCUCAAAUAACAAAUCUCUUUAUAAUAAAUACAAUUUAUAUCAUUCAAUACGAAGGAAGUUUAUUAAGUUACUUUUAAAUGAGGAGUGUAGUAAUAAUGUAUGCUUGGGUAUGUCUCAUUGUCCUACAAGCGGAGGUACUACAAAUUAUGUUACUGAUGGAACUCCCGCACCUUACAUACAAAUCAAACUACACAUACUACACAGCAACAACAAUAACAACAGUAACGACAGUAACAGUAACGACAGUAACAAUAACAAUAAAAAUAAUAACGUUUCCGUGUUCAUACGAAUAAAAUGUAGUACCGUUUUAAAAAAUACUUUACCUAUACCUGUACACUAUCAAAAUGCAUAUAAAUUAAAAAAAAUAAAUGCAUUUCGUUUUAAGCAACUGUUAUCCCCAUUAGUGAAUUUUAAUGUAAAGGGAAAUACAGUUGAUAGUAAUAAAAUAAAUAUAGUUUGUAAAAGAAAAAAAAAAAAAAAAAUAAAGGGAGGAGGAGGAGAGUAUAUAAAAAUGGUAAAUAAUAAUUCCGACACAAUGAGUGGCGGGGGUUAUACAAGUAACGAUGAAUUCUCUAUUUUAAAAAACACAGACAUUAAAAAAUGUAAUGAUAAAAAAAAAGAACAAACAUGUCUACAAAAUUCAGUAAUAUACUACGCUAAUAUUAUAAAAAAAAAUGAUAUUUUCAUAUUAACAUGUCAUACGUUAAUUUAUUUAUAUAGUUAUAAUGUAAAAAACCUUAAAAUAAAUAAAAAGAAUAUAUUUUUUAUUAACAAAUUAGGAAAUAAAAAAGGUGAAACUAGAAGUAACCAAAUGAGAGCUGCACCAGCAGCAGCCGAAGUAGGAACAAAACGAAACAUAUGUAGUAACAUAUACACGGUCAAAAAACUCGUUUGCUUUGUUAGCUUUUUUAAUGAACAAUUAAAAGAGGUAAUUUUCGAAGAUAAAAAUAUGGAAACAAUACCAAUUAACAGUUCCAAGGAUGUACAAAUAAGUUGUUGCAUCAGGAGUGACAAAAACGAUAACAAAGAUUGUCACUUUUCUAGUCCAUACACUUGCAGUUAUAUACAAAAUACAAAUUGUAAUAAUUUGUAUUUUACGAACUGUAGCAUGAAUAAAUAUGUUAUGUCAAUUCUUGUGAUAUGUCCUAAAUAUAUUAUAAAAAACGAAACAAAUUAUAAUUUAGUUAUGUUUUUACUAGAUAAUGUGCAUAAUAGUAACUGCUUUAAAUACUACAUAAAUAAAAAUUCAAGUAGUGUUAUUAACAAAUUUGAACAUGACAGCAACAGUAGAAGCGGUAGAAGCAGUGGAAGCAGUGAAAGCAGUAGCAACAGUAGCAACAGUAGCAACAGUAGCAACAGUAGCAACANNNNNNNNNNAGCAACAGUAGCAACAGUAGCAACAGUAGCAACAGUAGCAACAGUAGAAGCAGUAGAAGCAGUAGAAGCAGUAGAAGCAGUAGAAACAGUAGAAGCAGUAGAAACAGUAGAAUCAGUAUAAGCAGUAGAAGUAGCAAUAGCAGCAACAGCAAGAGUAACAAAAAAAAGAACAAUUUUGUUUUCAAAAUUAAUAAUACAAAUAAUAAUUAUUUAUUUUUAUGCGGAGAAAUAAAUAUAAAAAAAGAAGGUAAAUACGUUUUUUG